rnacentral:rRNA from 1 species
UACGGAGGGUGCAAGCGUUAUCCGGAUUCACUGGGUUUAAAGGGUGCGUAGGUGGGUUGGUAAGUCAGUGGUGAAAUCCCCGAGCUUAACUUGGGAACUGCCAUUGAUACUAUCAGUCUUGAAUACCGUGGAGGCCAGCGGAAUAUGUCAUGUAGCGGUGAAAUGCUUAGAUAUGACAUAGAACACCAAUUGCGAAGGCAGCUGGCUACACGAAUAUUGACACUCAGGCACGAAAGCGUGGGGAUCAAACAGG